rnacentral:rRNA from 1 species
UACGUAGGUGACCAGCGUUGUCCGGAUUUACUGGGCGUAAAGAGCGCGCAGGCGGUCGUUCAAGUCGAGUGUGAAAGCCCCCGGCUCAACUGGGGAGGGUCACUUGAUACUGAUCGACUCGAAGGCAGGAGAGGGAAGCGGAAUUCCCGGUGUAGUGGUGAAAUGCGUAGAUAUCGGGAGGAACACCAGUGGCGAAGGCGGCUUCCUGCCGUGUUCUUGAACGCUGAGG